ACAUCUGUCUGUGUGAGAGAGAGUGUGUAUGUGUGUCAGCCAGUGGCAUACAUGAGAAAGCAACAACAACAAAAAACACGCAGUUAAGCAAUUCUUUCUUUACAUGUUUUCUGCAUGAAAACAUACAAACAAUACAGCAAAGCAAGUUAGCUAAAAACUCAAAACCUCAACAGGAAAGAAGCUGUGAGCUAAUUUGUGAUGCUAAUAUUAGCUUAAUUAAGCUUUAGAGAUUUGCUGGCUUCAACAGCUACAGCUAUCUAAAAUAAAAACCAAUUGUUUCAAAGUUGUUGUUUUUUUUUUUUUUUAUUACACAGAGUAAUAAAAAACCUACUCACAGUAGAAAAGGUACAGGUGUAACUAUUAAAAUAAUGCUAGCUUUUGUUUGUGUACGUUGAGUCACGCUAUCAUGGCUUUAUAUUUUCUCCUGUAACUUUUCAAAAUGCGCAUAUUUAUUUAGAGACUUAGACUUAGAGACUUAGAGCUUUUUCUUGUCAUUGUGCAGUUUCUUGCACAGCGAAAUUGGGUAGCUGAACCACAAAGGUGAUAAAGUAAGAAGAAGAGAAACCAAUAUACAACGAAGGCGGAAAAGAAAUAAAUAAUUAAAUAAAUAGAAUAAAAUAAAAAAAACAGUGUACAUGUAUACAUAUGUGAGUGGAACUAUAUACAUGGUGUAUGUGUAGGAAACAUUGAAACAGACUGGGACCAAAAUAAUUGCACAUGAGCAAAAAAUAUAGCACAGAACAUGGAAAGACUGAGAUAUUGCACAUAGAUGAUCAACAGCAGUGUCAGGGUGGAUGUGUUGGGGAAGUCUUUACACACUCUUAGUUUGUAUUAAGAGUUCUGACAGCCCACGGGAAGAAGCUGUUCUUUAGUCUGUUGGUUUUGCACCUGAUGGAUCUGAGCCUUUUUCCAGAGGGCAGGAUGUUGAAGAGGUGGUGGUUAGGAUGGAGGUGGUCCUUUAUAAUUGCCCUGGCUCUGGAGAGACAUCUUGAGCUGCCAAUUAAGUCCAGGGAGGGGAGUGGACAGCCGAUCACCUUCUCUGCAGUUCUGAUGACCCUCUGUAGUCUCUUCUUGUCAGCUGUUGUGCAACCAGCGUACCACACAGGGAUGGCGUGCACCAGCACACUCUCGAUAGUGUCACGGUAGAAGAAUGCAAUUGUGUGAGUCAGAGUUUCUCAUCAAUAAUUACUAUAUUUUACUUACAUACUUUAUUUUCCUAGUUAGGAAGGUAUUCUUUCGACUUCUGUGCAUUUCCGUAGUUUGAACUCAGAACAUGGAGAUAACAUGGGCACAACAAAGAGUUGUUAAAAUACAGGACUUUAAUGGAAUAUAUUGCUUGUUAUGUUGUUUUUGUAUUUCUUUUAUUAUGACUGUGAAAGAAGAAAAUGUUAUAACUUUACAGAGAAAGAUGUAGAUGCCUGUGGUUGUGAAUGUGUAAAGGUUAAUGAGGGUUUAAACUCACGUCUUUGUGCAGGUAGUAUGGAUUCAUUCAUCAUUACUGCUUGGGUAUGGAAGGGAAAUCUUGUUAGUGGCGUUCAAGAGCAAGAAUAUUCAUGCUUGUCUUUUGUCAUCACAAGAAAACUUUAGACUUUCUGUUAUGGAGAAGACUGCCUGGUUUUAUUUGAAGUUCCUAACGUUAUGGACUGUGAAAGGAUUUAAUAUCCGCUCCAGUUGUUUGUCAUUUUCUCUCCCAUCACAGAUGCUAUUUAUAGCUGUAACUGUUACGACUGACAGCAGGAGUAUGUUGGAGCUCUGCACAUUUUCACCUCCUAUCAUUCCCAUCUGAUGUUUUCCAUUUCUCUGACCUCCUUCUUGUGGUUAUUGCGGUACUCCUGUAACCGUUACAUAAAACAUACAGUAUUGUGCAAAAAUGUUGAAAAAUAAUGCAGUGAGUAGCUUCAUAAGUUCACCCUCAAAUCAGUAAUUGUUGUGCUUGCACUUUUUCUUUGAUGCAGCACCAGUUCUCAAAGGAACAUUUUUCAAAGCAUCUUGAAGCACUUGCUGCAGUUUUUCUGUGUCAGCCUGUCUCUCACUUUUCACUGUCUUUUUGUGUAAAGACAGACUGACGCAUUGAUAUUGGGAUCAGGCCUCUGCGGGGGACCAGAUAUCUAAUGUCUAGAAUUGACCUAAGCCUUUGCUCAGUGCCGUAUGUCUGCUCUCUUUUGUAUCAAAGUCAAUGUCUAACAUUCCCCUUUUCUCAAUGUUUUACAUUUCUUUCCUACCCCCCAACACCCCCCAUUUCCUCCCAAAAGACCCCUUUGCUCCCUCAGAUGGUAGCACCAACGCAGCGUCUUCAGGUCUAGACCUUUUCGGCAUGAUGUCAGUGGAGAGCAAUAACCCGGCUAGUUCCCUGGAUGCCUGUUUUAGCUCGGGUGUGCCCCAGCCCUCCCCUUCCCAUUCCCCUUCACCGCUCUUCACCUCCUCAUCCAACACCAUCACCACCACUGCAACCAUUUCAGCUCCUAUUGCCGCCAGCACCACCAGCCCUGGGAUUGACCUUUUCAGUGGUAAACAUUGGAGAUUUGUGUGAUCCGGCAUUAGUAACUAUCGCAUCAUACUGAGGCAGGCUGGUGUCUUCUUGACUCUGUGGUUUGAGGCUGUUUGCCAUUUUUUUGUCAUUAUUUUUAUGAGGGAAAAUGUGCACAUGUUUGCAGCUUUGCCUCUCCAGUUGAAAGAGUUUGAGCUUUUUAAUAUUCCUGUCUUGGGUGCGCAUGUAUUUGUAGAUAUCUUUGACUCCAUGCCAGACACGAGCUUCUCCAAAACAGACCUCGCUCCCAGUGCUGACUUGUUUUCAGCAGCGGAUGUGUUCAGCUCCUCUGCCCCCAUCCUCUCCUCAGCACCCCCAUCCAAACUUGACACAGGAGCCAUCAUGAAUCUGUUUGGUGGUGGGUAACUCACAUGACCGCCUCCCCUCACUCUGCCUCUCUUGUUCACGCUGAGGAAGCGAAGGACAUAAAAUGAAACAAGUGAUUUUGAAACCAUCAGGUUUUCUCCUUUAUGAUCAUAGCUAUUGCGAUUGUUGCUGCUGUAUAUUUUGUUUUUGUUAUUCAUGUGGGUGGAUACAUUAUUGGAGAUUCGCACACAGAUAGCUGAGAUGAGUCAAAGUAUUUAUCAACUGCUAAUAAUGACUCUGGCUCAAGAUUUUCUUCCUUUUAAACUAAAAGUGGCUACACUACUUCAGCACAAUUAUACUUGCUCUCAUUUAUCCUCUAGAAAAAUAGGAUUAUGAGCACAAAUCUAACAACUAAAAUUCCUUGCUGUGUAUAUCUGAGUGUUACAUGUGAAAAGGCCAUUUUUAUAAGCAGUAUGUGUGUGUGAUGUUUUCAUUUUCUGAAAUCGAAAAUCCUGCGCUCAUGCUUUCAAGCCCUCUUUUCUAACUCUAAGCAUUUUGUCUGACAUUAAUAGUGUGAAGCUGAAGGCUGAUUGUUCCCCUUCUUUGCCUUAAUGCUGCGAUGGAAAUGGCUCGACCCACUGCGACCCUGUCAUGGAAUGAAUGGUGGACUGUGUUUAUGUUUUUUGGUUGACC